AUGCACGCUGGCGGCGUGCUUCACCCAUGCCAGUCGCACGGUGAAGGCGGAGCUUGCUCUGCUGGAUCAGUGGCGAACGGGUGAGUAACACGUGAGCAAUCUGCCCCUGACUCUGGGAUAAGCGCUGGAAACGGCGUCUAAUACUGGAUACGAGCUGCGAAGGCAUCUUCAGCAGCUGGAAAGAAUUUCGGUCAGGGAUGAGCUCGCGGCCUAUCAGCUUGUUGGUGAGGUAAUGGCUCACCAAGGCGUCGACGGGUAGCCGGCCUGAGAGGGUGACCGGCCACACUGGGACUGAGACACGGCCCAGACUCCUACGGGAGGCAGCAGUGGGGAAUAUUGCACAAUGGGCGAAAGCCUGAUGCAGCAACGCCGCGUGAGGGACGACGGCCUUCGGGUUGUAAACCUCUUUUAGCAGGGAAGAAGCGAAAGUGACGGUACCUGCAGAAAAAGCGCCGGCUAACUACGUG
rnacentral:rRNA from 1 species